rnacentral:ribozyme from 1 species
CCUUCCUGCUUUAUCGGCGUCACACGGUUCGAACCAGAACCCUUUGAAUAGCGGACGCCAGCAACCAAUGCCAUUGAAUCACGAGCACUUUCAAAACGGUGGUCACGUGUCGUCGAAC